GAGUUUGAUCCUGGCUCAGAUUGAACGCUGGCGGCAUGCCUUACACAUGCAAGUCGAACGGCAGCAUGAUCUAGCUUGCUAGAUUGAUGGCGAGUGGCGAACGGGUGAGUAAUACAUCGGAACGUGCCCUGUAGUGGGGGAUAACUAGUCGAAAGAUUAGCUAAUACCGCAUACGACCUGAGGGUGAAAGUGGGGGACCGCAAGGCCUCAUGCUAUAGGAGCGGCUGAUGUCUGAUUAGCUAGUUGGUGGGGUAAAGGCCCACCAAGGCGACGAUCAGUAGCUGGUCUGAGAGGACGAUCAGCCACACUGGGACUGAGACACGGCCCAGACUCCUACGGGAGGCAGCAGUGGGGAAUUUUGGACAAUGGGCGAAAGCCUGAUCCAGCAAUGCCGCGUGUGUG
rnacentral:rRNA from 1 species